GUGACAGUGAAGAACAAGUACCCACUGCCGAGGAUAGACGAACUGUUUGACCAACUUCAGGGAGCCACCUACUUCUCGAAGAUAGAUCUUAGAUCAGGAUACCAUCAAUUGCGAGUCAAGGAAGCAGAUGUUUUCAAGACAGCNUUCAGAACCAGAUAUGGCCAUUAUGAAUUCCUGGUGAUGCCAUUCGGUCUAACCAAUGCACCGGCAGCNUUCAUGGACCUUAUGAACGGUAUUUUNCGGGAACAUCUGGACCGGUUCGUAGUGGUCUUCAUCGACGAUGUGNUAAUCUACUCAAAGACGAGAGAGGACCAUGAGGAUCACCUGAGGAUAGCUCUGGAACUACUCAGAAAGCACAAGUUGUAUGCAAAGCUCAGCAAGUGCGAGUUCUGG
rnacentral:misc_RNA from 1 species